AGAGAUGUAGCGCAGCUUGAUAGCGGAUUUGUUUUGGGUACAAUAUGUCACGGGUUCAAAUCCUGUCAUCCCUA
rnacentral:tRNA from 1 species